UUCUUUGAUAAACAUAGAGACAUCCUACCAUAACUGUUUAACAUAACUACAGUGCCAGAAGAUGUGGGGUACAGUUUACAAGUGCAAAGAGCAAUUAACAUCAAUGUCCUUCUUAAACUUACUGAGAACAUGUUUAACAGGAUAGAAUGUAUGAAAUAUGUUUGUCAUCUUCACAAACAUUCGAUUGGUCCCUCGGAACCCGUACGUCAUCUGCGCCACCCCUCACCACGGGGGCUUAUUAUUCCACGAGCGACUGACGCCGAAACUACAAUGUCAAACAUUUUCGGGACACCGAGCGCUUCCGCGUUCGGGAAGGACCCGUCCUGAUUUCUUAGCAUACGCGCAAAACCUACGGACAAUCAGAUGAUAUUUCUGGAAGCUGAAGAUUGAGAUGAUGUAUCAUCUUUCAGACAAGGUGGAAGUGUGAGUGAGUCAGGGAGAGAUGGAGGUGAUUAGAAGAAAAGACUCCGACUCAAACGGCCUGCUCUCAGACAACUCGGAGAAUGGCUGUGAGGUAUGAACCUCAUCAUUGGAAAGGUAUGAGUGUCACUAUUGGACCUGCACAUGUUCAACUUCUCUUUCUGUAGGACUUGGGGGCUCGUGGGCAGACGACUGGAGUGUGUUUGUGUGAAAAUAUCCCCUUUACCACCUUCUGUGAUCAGCACCCACAGGAGGACUCCAGUGUGAAGUGUGUCCAGUGCGGUAAGAACAGGCCCAUGAUCACCAGAUACUCAGAGGGUUACGGCACAGAGGAGGAGUGUGUGCAGCCUCAUCUUCAGGGAGACAGCGACGCAGACGCAGACAUCGAGGACACGGACAGCAGGCUCCAGAUUGUGGGUUCCCUCCAGCGAAUCAGCUCCCGGAAGAGAAAGCGUCAGCGAAUCACACGGCAGGACACAACGGAGAGCGAAGACGAUGGUGGGGGGAGCCACAGGACGCAACGCUGGAGUCUACGACUCAGUCCUCAUCGCACGCAUAACAGGACCAUACUGGAGGUGAGCGACGUUCAACAACAGUGCUG
rnacentral:lncRNA from 1 species